CGGCGUGUCGCAUAACGGUUUAAUGCGGGCUCCUUAUAAGGGCCUCAUCCGGGUUCGACUCCCGGCGCGCCGA
rnacentral:tRNA from 1 species